rnacentral:rRNA from 1 species
AACGAACGCUGGCGGCAUGCCUAACACAUGCAAGUCGAACGAGACCUUCGGGUCUAGUGGCGCACGGGUGCGUAACGCGUGGGAACCUGCCCUUAGGUUCGGAAUAACUCCCCGAAAGGGGUGCUAAUACCGGAUAAUGUCUUCGGACCAAAGAUUUAUCGCCUUUGGAUGGGCCCGCGUUGGAUUAGCUAGUCGGUAGGGUAAAAGCCUACCAAGGCGACGAUCCAUAGCUGAUCUGAGAGGAUGAUCAGCCACACUGGGACUGAGACACGGCCCAGACUCCUACGGGAAGCAGCAGUGGGGAAUAUUGGACAAUGGGCGAAAGCCUGAUCCAGCAAUGCCGCGUGAGUGAUGAAGGCCUUAGGGUUGUAAAGCUCUUUUACCCGGGAUGAUAAUGACAGUACCGGGAGAAUAAGCUCCGGCUAACUCCGUG